GACGAACCGUGCGAACGUUGUUCGGAAUCACUGGGCAUAAAGGGCGCGUAGGCGGGCCGUAAAGUCAGGGGUGAAAUCCUCCAGCUUAACUGGAGAACUGCCUUUGAUACUGACGGCCUCGAGUGAGGUAGGGGCGUGCGGAACUGAUGGUGGAGCGGUGAAAUGUGUUGAUAUCAUCAGGAACUCCGGUGGCGAAAGCGGCACGCUGGACCUUUACUGACGCUGAGGCGCGAAAGCGUGGGGAUCAAACAGG
rnacentral:rRNA from 1 species